GAAGGUAUAGCUCAGUGGUAGAGCACCUGUUUAGCAUUCACGAGGUCCUGGGUUCAAUCCUCAGUGCCUCCG
rnacentral:tRNA from 1 species